rnacentral:rRNA from 1 species
UACAGAGGGUGCAAGCGUUAAUCGGAUUUACUGGGCGUAAAGGGCGCGUAGGCGGUUACGUAAGUGAGAUGUGAAAUCCCCGGGCUUAACCUGGGAACUGCAUCUUAAACUGCGUAGCUGGAGUGCAGUAGAGGGUAGUGGAAUUUCCGGUGUAGCGGUGAAAUGCGUAGAUAUCGGAAGGGACACCAGUGGCGAAGGCGGCUACCUGGACUGAGACUGACGCUGAGGCGCGAGAGCGAGGGGAGCGAACAGG